UUAAGUACCCCGCCUGGGGAGUACGGCCGCAAGGCUAAAACUCAAAGAAAUUGACGGGGGCCCGCACAAGCGGCGGAGCAUGUGGAUUAAUUCGAUGCAACGCGAAGAACCUUACCUGGGUUUGACAUGCACAGGACGUGCCUAGAGAUAGGUAUUCCCUUGUGGUCUGUGUGCAGGUGGUGCAUGGCUGUCGUCAGCUCGUGUCGUGAGAUGUUGGGUUAAGUCCCGCAACGAGCGCAACCCUCGUCCUAUGUUGCCAGCGGGUUAUGCCGGGGACUCGUAGGAGACUGCCGGGGUCAACUCGGAGGAAGGUGGGGAUGACGUCAAGUCAUCAUGCCCCUUAUGUCCAGGGCUUCACACAUGCUACAAUGGCCGGUACAAAGGGCUGCGAUGCCGUGAGGUGGAGCGAAUCCUUUUAAAGCCGGUCUCAGUUCGGAUCGGGGUCUGCAACUCGACCCCGUGAAGUCGGAGUCGCUAGUAAUCGCAGAUCAGCAACGCUGCGGUGAAUACGUUCCCGGGCCUUGUACACACCGCCCGUCACGUCAUGAAAGUCGGUAACACCCGAAGCC
rnacentral:rRNA from 1 species